rnacentral:tRNA from 1 species
GGCCCCUUCGUCUAAUGGUGAGGACAUCGGCCUCUCAAGCCGGAAAUGCUGGAUUCAAGUCCCGCAGGGGUCA